CUUGUGCCCGCAGUUUCGCAAAGUCGCGGACGCACCCAGCCGGCCGAGCAGGGUUGUUGAGAUCCCCGCCUCACCCCACGGCCCCGGUGGACGGAUGGGUAGACGGAGGCGCGCGGUGUGGGUCAGGUUGGGACGGCGGCACACCUCCUACACGCCCUCGGCCCUACCCCUCCGGAGGCCGUCCACGAUAAUCCAAUCUGAACGUUCCCUCCGCUACCACUCAUCCCCAGAUCCGCCUGAAAAGUAAACCGACUUGGAGAAGAACCUAGGGUGGCAGCUGGGGGUGGGGGCUGGGAUGACCUGUGCUGCCUGGAUGGCUCUGGGGUGAAGAUGAUGGUGAAGGCCCCUCUUCCGCCACAGGUAGAGGGGGCCAGGAGGAGUCAGCCCACCCUUUUCCUUUCCUUGGAGGAACAAUGGGAGAAAAGCAGAAAAGCAUCUCCCUGUCCUGGGAUGGGCUCACCAGAUGUUGCCCAGAUGUUGCUGGUGAAGGGAAACAUCUCCCUCUGGGAUCCCAAGUUCCGCGGGAUCUCCAUCUCAUGGAGAAUGGAAGCUCAGAGGGACAGAUUGACUUGUCUGAAUUAUGGUGGCACAAACAAGACCCGAAGCAGCAGUAUGCUGGUAGUAAAUGUUUAACAACCAGUUCUCUGGGCUUAAAAAAAAAAAAAAAGAAGUUAUGAUUUGCAGUGUUUGCCAAUUUCCAUGGUGUAAAUUCUCCCACCAUUAGCUGGUUUCAAGCUACUGGCACUGGGAGUGAAAUUGGAAGAGGUGUGCACACUCUCUGGGCAGCUGUGGCUCCGGUACACCACCGAGCGCAGGCUGCCAGCCCAGGACCUCUGUUCUGAGGAGAUGAUGGAGACAGCGUGUGCAAUGAGGGAUGGUCAGGGGAGCCUUCCAGAUUUCUUCUGUGAGAUACAGACUGCACUGUGGAAAAGUCGUUUUGCCCAUUCACUCGUGCUGUUUACUGAACUACACAGACACUGUUCUAGUCACGGAUCAUGAGUGGCAAAUAAUACAGACAAGGUCUCUGCUCUCCUGGAAUUUUCUUUCUGGCAGGACAGAGACAGAGGGACUCAAAGGCUAGGGCACAGUGAGAAGUUUCAGUUAAUCUAAGAGUGGGAGAUGGAGAGUGAAGUGCAGCCCAGACUGAGCAUGUCACAGGCAAUCCCCAAGAGGCGAGAUGGGCUGGUGGCUCCCCUCCCUCUUCUGGCCCUUCCUUUUGGGGUUGGGGGAUCGUAAGCCUGUUAGAUUGGGAGUAGCCCCUCCCAGCCCAACAAAGCAGCCCCAGGAAGGAGGGGACACAGGUUUCCCAGUGGCACCUCCACCAACCCCUCCUCUCCUCUUCCAUCCCUCCACCUGUUGAGAAUCUGCCUCCUGAAGUUGGCCUGAGGCGCCUGAGAGUGUGGUUCCCCUGGGACCCUUACGUGGGUCCCCAUCCUCAGGAUCUGCAACAGAGACAAGAAUCAGUGCACAAUCCUGAAAUAAUUUCCACUGGGAGCCGAUUCUUAACCGAAAAGAAGAAAAAAAAAAAAAAGCUUCUCAUCCAAAGGAUUCUGGGCUCUGCUGAGAAAUACCUUCUGAAAAGCACAACUUCAUCAGAAAGAGAAUUAUGAGGAAUCACUCUCUUCCAAGAUGACAACAUCCAAGCUUGUACGGUUUCAUCAAGGAAGGGGAUUUAUUUUUGAUAUACAAGAUUGAGAAUCUUAAAGCAGGACAUGUAAAAUUAUUGAAAAGAUACUGAGACAUGGAAGAGU